rnacentral:lncRNA from 1 species
CAUCCGUAAAGUUGAAAUUACAAAGGAGCUGCAGAUACCAGUUUUAUGCACAUGGAACCGGCGACAAAUGUACUUGGAGGAGCAGAAGCAGGAAGCUCAACAGUUGAGGCAUUCGAAGAGAAGCCGUGAAGAGUAAAUCGAGAGCUACAGACACAAUAAAAAGAAAUUAGAAAUGACUAUUGCUUAUUUGAUGGUGAAAAGCUGAGGCAACAGAUGACAUCACAUACACUGUCAAACCAAACAGUAUUCAAAAACUGCAAAUGUUGCAGGUCCAAGUAGUUAAUUGUGCUAUUGCAGAAAAACUUUGAGCGCUUUCUUGAAAUGCUUCCUUGUGUGCGUUUAGUGGUGGGCGGUGAAAGGCAAAUUAGCAGUCUUUCAAAUGUUUGAAAUCACUGAAAUGCGAUUUGUUUUGUUUUCUUUUGUUUGCAUUAAAGUUAACGGUGUUGUUGAACAAGUUAUUGCCUGUCCAAACUACUA